rnacentral:tRNA from 1 species
GGCCCUAUAGUUUAAUGGAUAGAAUAAAAGAUUCCGGUUCUUUUGGUUGAGGUUCGAUUCCUCAUAGGGCUACAA